UGGCUGCACUAAACAGUUGAAG
rnacentral:siRNA from 1 species